GAAGCUUUUUCAACAACAACAUGACUCAUUAGCUGCCUCGGUAUCUUGCUAGAAAACAUAAAACCAAAACAUCGGGGAUCUUGGAACCAUUUUGUGAAUAUUAACCUCAGUGUUUUAGACGCACUGUGUAUUUACUCCAUUUCUUAUAUAUGUUGUUAGUCAAGCUAGCUGGUUAAGAUAGCGUCUAGCCGAGUGCUAGGCUAUCGCUAAUUAACAAGCAAGCUAGGUAGCUAGCUAACAUCCACAACCAUGAGCUCAAUAAGCUACUCGCCUCCUACUAAAGAAGAGGUCCGCUGGACGGAGAAAGAAGCUCUGGGACUGAACAUUGUCGUGAAAGAGGAAGAGGAGGAUAUCACAGUGAAAGAGGAGGAGAUGACUGUCACAGUCAAAGAAGAAGAUAAAGAAGAUUUCGGAAUGAAAGAAGAAGAGGAGGAGAAAGCUAUCACAUUGAAAGAAGAAGAUGUUACAGUGAAAGGAGAGGAAGAAGGUUUUGGAGUAAAUGGGGUGAUGGAUGUUACAGUGAAAGAAGAGGAUGCCGUUUUUGGAGUGAAAGAGGAGGACAUGACUGUCACAGGGAAAGGAGAGGAAGAAGCUUUCAGGGUGAAAGAGGAUAUUUUAGUGAAGGAAGACGAGGACCUUUUUCAAGUGAAAGAGGAGGAGGAGGAAGAAGUUUUGAGAGUGAAAGAGGAGGGGAAUGAAGAGAAGAUGACUGUCACAGUGAAAGGGGAGGAGGAGGAUGAAGAGGAGGAGACUGGAGAUCAGAUUAACACCGAGCUUUCAACAGAAUCUCCAAGGGUGUCUGAGGGCUUGC